AUUGAACGCUGGCGGCAGGCCUAACACAUGCAAGUCGAACGAGUGGCGGACGGGUGAGUAAUGUCUGGGAAACUGCCUGAUGGAGGGGGAUAACUACUGGAAACGGUAGCUAAUACCGCAUACCAUCGGAUGUGCCCAGAUGGGAUUAGCUAGUAGGUGGGGUAAAGGCUCACCUAGGCGGCGAUCCCUAGCUGGUCUGAGAGGAUGACCAGCCACCCUGGAACUGGGACACGGUCCAGACUCCUACGGUGGGCAGCAGGGGGGAAUAUUGGAAAAAUGGCGCAAGCCUGAUGCAGCCAUGGCGCGUGUAUGAAGAAGGCCUUCGGGUUGUAAAGUACUUUCAGCGGGGAGGCGUUACCCGCAGAAGAAGCACCGGCUAACUCCGUGCCAGCAGCCGCGGUAAUUC
rnacentral:rRNA from 1 species